rnacentral:lncRNA from 1 species
CUCAGAAUGAGAAUUUUGGGGAGUAUGUGAGUUUACAGUAAAGGUUGUUGAGACAGGAGUGGGAAGAAAAGUGGAUAAAGUGGGACCAUCUGGUAAAACAGAACACACUUUCUGAGAUGGAAACAAGUCAAGAUAAGGAAAUUUUACCUCAUUAAACACAACAUCUUUGGAUAUAAAAAUUCUACCUGAAGCAUCUAAACAUUUAUAUCCUUUGUGACUGUUGGAAUAUCCCAAGAAAACACACUCCUUUGAAUGAAAAUCAAACUUAUGAGAGUUAUAGGGUCUCAAAAAGGGAAAACAUGCACAACCAAAGCUUUUAAGGAAUUUAUAGUCUGGAAAUUGAAGGUGAAGUAAGAAAAAGGGUGAUUUAUUUGCUAAAACUGGUGUAGGUAACCUGUUGAUAAGGUAAGUUGCAGUUAAAAAGGCAUGGUCCCAAAACUUUAAUGGCAUUUGUGCAUGAGAUAAAAGAGUGAGACCAGUUUCAACAAUAUGUCUAUGUUUCCUUUCAACUGAGCCAUUUUGAUGGUGAGUGUGUGGACAAGUGAAUCUGUGAGUGAUGCCAAGGCUAUUGAGAUAUUUUGUGAAAGGUAAAAACUCACCACCUCCAUCAGUUUGGACAGAAGUAAUUUUGUGAUU